rnacentral:rRNA from 1 species
GAACGCUGGCGGCGUGCUUAACACAUGCAAGUCGAACGGUGAAGGAAGAGCUUGCUCUUCUGGAUCAGUGGCGAACGGGUGAGUAACACGUGAAUAACCUGCCCCAGACUCUGGGAUAAGCACUGGAAACGGUGUCUAAUACCGGAUACGAGCUUCAGUCGCAUGGCUAGGAGCUGGAAAGAAUUUCGGUCUGGGAUGGACUCGCGGCCUAUCAGCUAGUUGGUGAGGUAAUGGCUCACCAAGGCGACGACGGGUAGCCGGCCUGAGAGGGUGACCGGCCACACUGGGACUGAGACACGGCCCAGACUCCUACGGGAGGCAGCAGUGGGGAAUAUUGCACAAUGGGCGCAAGCCUGAUGCAGCAACGCCGCGUGAGGGACGACGGCCUUCGGGUUGUAAACCUCUUUUAGUAGGGAAGAAGCGAAAGUGACGGUACCUGCAGAAAAAGCACCGGCUAACUACGUGCCAGCAGCCGCGGUAAUACGUAGGGUGCAAGCGUUAUCCGGAAUUAUUGGGCGUAAAGAGCUCGUAGGCGGUUUGUCACGUCUGCUGUGAAAACUGGAGGCUCAACCUCCAGCCUGCAGUGGGUACGGGCAGACUAGAGUGCGGUAGGGGAGAUUGGAAUUCCUGGUGUAGCGGUGGAAUGCGCAGAUAUCAGGAGGAACACCGAUGGCGAAGGCAGAUCUCUGGGCCGUAACUGACGCUGAGGAGCGAAAGCAUGGGGAGCGAACAGGAUUAGAUACCCUGGUAGUCCAUGCCGUAAACGUUGGGAACUAGAUGUAGGGACCAUUCCACGGUUUCUGUGUCGCAGCUAACGCAUAAGUCCCCGC